AACUGUAGAGUCAGAGAGGGGGUUGAUGUAGAAAAGGCUGGCCGGGGCCUGGCUAGGAAAGAACAGCCACCCUCCACGUUCUUCUAGAGCCAAGCUAAGAGCUCAAAGUGGUUUCGCGGUGCCUGGCUUUGAUCUUUUAACCAGCAACCAAACGGCAGGAAGUUUGAUCUGUUAGCCUGGCUACUAAUUAACAAUAAAGUUCUCAAUAGAGAUAACUUAGCGAAAAGAAGGAAAGUAGAAGAUGAUAGUUAUAUUUUUUUGUCCUGGGAAAGAAUCAAUCAUCAUCUAUUUUUUGAGUGAUUUUUGGCUCAGUGGCAAAGAAAUGGUCUUGUGAACAUUAUUACCGAGGCAGUUCUCUUGUCUAUAUAGGGCUGGUCUGGUUGUCCAGCUAGUGUUGACACACGGUGACCAUUUUCCUUCUCUUAACCUUUCUUGUUACAGCUUGCAACGUCCAAUUUGCAUCACUAACUGCAGCAACCAUGGUGGUCCCAUUUCAAAAGGGACGUCAGAGUCAAAGAUGGUGACCACCUACUGAAACUGCUGGAUUUGGAGGACAACGACACCGCGCUUGCAGGAUUCAUUGCGAAGCAAGUACAGAGUUGAUGAGAGAAGGAAACAAGCUGCGACAUUUUGGUCUUGCCUCCAAAUAUAUUCCAGAAUCUCUUAAGGAACCACCAAUGUCGUAGUGGAUGGAAACCUUGAUGAUGCCCUCGAUGGACAUGAUGGCCACGGCGCACACAUAAUACCAUGGUUUAAAAUAGUGGGCUACUGAAAAUAGCAGCAACUUUUAAUUGAUGCAAAAAACAUGCAAUUUGGUGAACAAAUAUGCAACAUGGUUCAUGAAAAUCCAGUGUUUAAUUGUGCAAAAUACCAAAUUAGUAGCAAAUGAUAAGUAGGGAACAACUAAUAAAUUAGUAAGCCAGUGAUAAGUAGGUAAAAUAGGAAAUAGCGCUGCUAUUUUAACGCUAAGGCAACUUAGCAGCACUACAGCACGCAAUAGCGGCCAAAGUUGGCACAGCGGCACAAAGAGCAACAACUUAGCGUCGAGUCUCUGCAGCCACUAUAACGUCACCAUAGCAUGGUAUUUUUUCCAUGUAUCGUACGGCGCCACCGUGAGACCAGAGCCAAGCCAAGCCAAGCCAAGCCAAGAACUUGUUACGUGAGAGCUGCGCUGGCGGCGCGGGCUACUACAAUGAAGGAAGGAAGGAAGGAGGGAGGGAGAGUGGGAGAGGCAUGCACUAGGUGGGGCAUUACGUAGGCGAGUAGAGCGUGCGGCCGAGCUCAACGAGGGACAUGCGCACACCAAAGUGUGAUGCUGCAUUGAAGGCCUGGCACAGGGCGUGGGUUUUCUUUAUCGGCCAAAAUGCAUGAAAAUUUCCAUUCUAUCUAUGAGGUCCGACAAAAUUGGAUAUCAGCCAAUUUUUUCCUGUUUUUCCUCCUCCCAAGUGGACGGCUCAAAUUUUUUUUCCUGUUUUUCCUCCUCUCAAGUGUUUUAUUUUUGUUUUCAUAUAUGAGUAACUGAUGUUUUGUAGCUUAGAAAUAGUUUAAUGUCAAAUUCUAUGGUUUUUUUCAAAGUAA